AGCGGCGAACGGGUGAGUAACACGUAGGUGAUCUGCCCAUCAGACGGGGACAACGAUUGGAAACGAUCGCUAAUACCGGAUAGGACGAAAGUUUAAAGGUGCUUCUGGCACCGCUGAUGGAUGAGCCUGCGGCGCAUUAGCUAGUUGGUAGGGUAAAGGCCUACCAAGGCGACGAUGCGUAGCCGACCUGAGAGGGUGAACGGCCACACUGGGACUGAGACACGGCCCAGACUCCUACGGGAGGCAGCAGUAGGGAAUCUUCGGCAAUGGGCGAAAGCCUGACCGAGCAACGCCGCGUGAAUGAUGAAGGCCUUCGGGUUGUAAAAUUCUGUUAUAAGGGAAGAACGACUUUAGUAGGAAAUGGCUAGAGUGUGACGGUACCUUAUGAGAAAGCCACGGCUAACUAUGUGCCAGCAGCCGCGGUAAUACGUAGGUGGCGAGCGUUAUCCGGAAUUAUUGGGCGUAAAGAGCGCGCAGGUGGUUGAUUAAGUCUGAUGUGAAAGCCCACGGCUUAACCGUGGAGGGUCAUUGGAAACUGGUCGACUUGAGUGCAGAAGAGGGAAGUGGAAUUCCAUGUGUAGCGGUGAAAUGCGUAGAGAUAUGGAGGAACACCAGUGGCGAAGGCGGCUUCCUGGUCUGUAACUGACACUGAGGCGCGAAAGCGUGGGGAGCAAACAGGAUUAGAUACCCUGGUAGUCCACGCCGUAAACGAUGAGUGCUAAGUGU
rnacentral:rRNA from 1 species